GAUGAACGCUGGCGGCGUGCCUAAUACAUGCGAGUCGAGCGAACAGACGAGGAGCUUGCUCCUCUGACGUUAGCGGCGGACGGGUGAGUAACACGUGGAUAACCUACCUAUAAGACUGGGAUAACUUCGGGAAACCGGAGCUAAUACCGGAUAAUAUAUUGAACCGCAUGGUUCAAUAGUGAAAGACGGUUUUGCUGUCACUUAUAGAUGGAUCCGCGCCGCAUUAGCUAGUUGGUAAGGUAACGGCUUACCAAGGCGACGAUGCAUAGCCGACCUGAGAGGGUGAUCGGCCACACUGGAACUGAGACACGGUCCAGACUCCUACGGGAGGCAGCAGUAGGGAAUCUUCCGCAAUGGGCGAAAGCCUGACGGAGCAACGCCGCGUGAGUGAUGAAGGUCUUCGGAUCGUAAAACUCUGUUAUUAGGGAAGAACAAAUGUGUAAGUAACUAUGCACGUCUUGACGGUACCUAAUCAGAAAGCCACGGCUAACUACGUG
rnacentral:rRNA from 1 species